AUUGAGCGCUGGCGGCAGGCCUAACACAUGCAAGUCGAACGAGUGGCGGACGGGUGAGUAAUGUCUGGGAAACUGCCUGAUGGAGGGGGAUAACUACUGGAAACGGUAGCUAAUACCGCAUACCAUCAGAUGUGCCCAGAUGGGAUUAGCUAGUAGGUGGGGGAACGGCUCACCUAGGCGACGAUCCCUAGCUAGUCUGAGAGGAUGACCGGACACACUGGAACUGGAACACGGUCCAGACUCCUCCGGGAUGCAGCAGUGGGGAAUAUUGCACAAUGGGCGCAGGCCUGAUUCAGCCAUGCCGCGUGUAUGAAGAAGGCCUUCGGGUUGUAAAGUACUUUCAGCGUGGAGGCGUUACCCGCAGAGGAAGCACCGGCUAACUCCGUGCCAGCAGCCGCGGUAAUUC
rnacentral:rRNA from 1 species